AGAUGUUUCAGGAAUGAAAAGUUUCCUGCCAAAAGAUCUUCAGAGGCAAUCAAGCAUUGGAGCAAGGUUUACAGGUGGAGAACAGCGAGAAAAGUCCAUCACUAGUAAGUAUCAACUACAACAUAUAGGACAAAGUUUCUCUGAUGUUUUUUAUUUUUAAAUGGAUUAAUCUAGUGAUUAUUCUAAAGAUAAUUAUUUUAUAACUCAAUUAAUAAAACAUUUAAUAUAUCCCAAAUCAAUAUAAAAUUAUCUGCCAUUCUAUAUCUUAUUUAAAAAGUUACUCAUAAAAGCAUAUUAUAAAAAUGAUAGUAGCAUAUUUUAAAAUUAAUCUAAUUUUCAAGUCAAACCCUAACAAACCCUAUUUGUCGGAUGCCUGAUCAUAAAAAUACUGGACGUCAAAUUCAAAAGGAUUGCUGUGACACAGAGAAAUUUAAACAAUUUAAGUCUUUCCCUGAACAAGUGAGUCAGUAUUUUUACUGACGUAUUUGACUAAAAACUUGACAUUUCUGUCUAGGGGUGUGCAAUAUGUUUCGUCUCUGAUAAUAAAUCGUACAUUUUAAAAG